UACGUAGGGUGCGAGCGUUAAUCGGAAUUACUGGGCGUAAAGCGUGCGCAGGCGGCUUUGCAAGACAGAUGUGAAAUCCCCGGGCUCAACCUGGGAACUGCAUUUGUGACUGCAAGGCUAGAGUACGGUAGAGGGGGAUGGAAUUCCGCGUGUAGCAGUGAAAUGCGUAGAUAUGCGGAGGAACACCGAUGGCGAAGGCAAUCCCCUGGACCUGUACUGACGCUCAUGCACGAAAGUGUGGGGAGCAAACAGG
rnacentral:rRNA from 1 species